rnacentral:misc_RNA from 1 species
AACGCAACUGGCGCCGGUUAACCGGCAUCCUUGGUUCUGUGGGCUAGGAGAGUAAACUAUCAUUAUAAAAUAUAAUGCGCAUGAGGCACAUAUAUGUUCUUCUUUCGUUAAAUAUGAAGGUGUGAAAGAUGAGUAAGCUCUCAAACUGGCAAACGAAGUAGUCAUGAUUGUUCGAGAUCACGUUUAACCAGUGCGAAAGGUUAUUGCUUUGCUUUAAAUACCAUCUAAUCAAUUAAAUAACUCCAAAUAUGGCAUCUGAAAUCAGACAAGGAUUCCCGCUGAACUUAA